rnacentral:rRNA from 1 species
UGGUGGAGUGAUUUGUCUGGUUAAUUCCGUUAACGAACGAGACCUCGACCUGCUAAAUAGUGGAGCGAAUUCUCGAAUUCGUCUCAACUUCUUAGAGGGACUUUACCUGUAUAGGGUAAGGAGGUUCGAGGCAAUAACA